rnacentral:rRNA from 1 species
GGGAGUGUCAAGCAGGGCUGCAAUCANCCUUCUNCUUACGCAUACACUUGACCAUGGCGCAUCAUGCCAAUUAGCCGAACCUUGUCCUCCGUAUAGUACACGCUCUGGUUUUGGCAGACGCGAGGACUAGGUAAUGAUUAAUAUGGGAAUAUCGUUGGGGGCAUUAAUAUUAAUUGUCANAGGUGAAAUUCUUGGAUUUAUGAAAGAUUAACUUCUGCGAAAGCAUCUGCCAAGGAUGUUUUCAUUAAUCAAGAACGAAAGUUAGGGGAUCGAAGACGAUCAGAUACCGUCGUAGUCUUAACCAUAAACGAUGCCGACCAGCGAUUAGGAGACGUUGAAUACAUNAACACCACCAUCGGCGCGGUCGUCCUUGGCUGGUCGUCCCUCAACGGGGCGGCGGCGNGGGCGGUUAACCCGCAUG